rnacentral:lncRNA from 1 species
CAGAGAAUAAAAAUGAAAUAUUGGCGAUAUCGAUGCAUUACCAUGUUGCAGGAACGAUAUAUUCGAUGUGAACAAUGCCUCUUCAAGAAUGUGAUGAUUAGCAGGACAGUUCUUUUUUCAAUUUUAAGAAAAGGGUUUUGUAACACGACUGCCGGAGGUCGCUAUUUCAAAGACAUUUGAGGGUUUUAGAGAACAAGGCGCAUAAGUGCAGUUUCUGGUAUUUCAAGAAAUACAUUUUUAAAGUUUCAAAAUUACAUGGAGCCUUAUGGCGAGGGGGAGGUUCAAACUAACUUUUUGAUGCUUUAAAGUAGAUUUCAGUUGUGAAAUUUUCACAGAAUAUACUUCAAACUAGUUUUAGUUAAGUUCAUGGAUAUCUCAAUUUUUUUCAAAAACUGCACUUAUGCGCCCUGACCUCCUAAGCACCUCAAUUGAUCCUCACUUUGUAACGCGGGUGGUAUAGGAUUAAGGAACUAGAUACAGUUUUUACUCUCACACAGUGAGAAUAUUGAGGAAAUUACCUCGUUUUUCAUGUUACUGCUUGCGCUCAUUCUUGCGGUCACUAUUGGUGUGUGAAAUCGAUUGAUUCAGUUCUUCUUGCGGUUCGCCUUAUCAGUUGAACUGAGUUAGUGUGCUACCAGAAUCAAGGUAUUUCUGGCAAUUAUUUCAUGAAGUAAAGAUUUUUUCAAGUUAUUUCCAUGGAACCGACUAGUCCUGCUGGUGUCCGCCCCAUCAGCCAGCAUUUCAUCAACUUUAACCGCCGGAAACGGAAACCUACCAAGAAAAUAGACGCCGAGAUCCAAAGGCGCAGAGAAGAAUGCGAGCGAAAAGCGAGGAGGGGGGAGAUGGACCCCCGGCUGGAGUUCACCUUCCAGCUCCUCAUGGACGGCACCGGUCUUCCUCGAUCCGACAUAAUGGAUCACGUGUUCGAUGGAAAUAUGGUACGUUUUUCGAUCAUUAACCUCUCUCAUCUACUAGUUCAGGCCGAGGUAGAUAGUUUUAGGAAUAUCCUGCUGGC